rnacentral:rRNA from 1 species
CCUACGGGAGGCAGCAGUGAGGAGUAUUGGUCAAUGGGCGGGAGCCUGAACCAGCCAAGCCGCGUGAGGGAAGAAGGUACAGCGUAUCGUAAACCUCUUUUGUCAGGGAACAAAGGCGGGGACUAGUCCCCGAAUGAGGGUACCUGAAGAAAAAGCAUCGGCUAACUCCGUGCCAGCAGCCGCGGUAAU